rnacentral:rRNA from 1 species
CUACCUUGUUACGACACCCACAGUCAUGAAUCCUACCGUGGUAAUCGCCCUCUUACGGUUAGGCUAACACCUUCUGGUAAAAAAACCCACUCCGCCGGUGUGACGGGCGGUGUCGUACGGGCGAACGUAUUCACCGCGACAUGCUGAUCCGCGUUACUAGCGAUUCCGACUUCACCGCGAUCCGAGUUGCAAUUCACGAUCCGGACUACGAUCGGGUUUCUGGGAUUGGCUCCCCCUCGCGGGUUGGCGACCCUCUGUUCGACCCAUUGUAUGACGGUAAUGGAAGCCCCAUAAGGCCAUGGGGACUUUCGACGUCAUCCCACGCCCUCGGUUCGUCACCGGCAGUCUCAUUGGAAAUUGUAACUAAGUAACAACUAAUGACAAGGGGUUGCCUUCGUUGCGGGACUUAACCCAACAUCUCUCCACGACACGAGCUGACGACAGCCAUACCUUUAUGUUGAUUCUGUUGCGAGCACUCCCCAAAUCUCUUCAGUUCCAGACAUGUCAAGGGUAGGUAAGGGUUUUUCGCGCGUUAUCGAAUUAAUCCAUCAAUACCGCUUGUGCGGGUCCCGAUAAUUCUUUGAGUUUUAAUCUGCGACCGUACUCCCCAGGCGAUUAACCGCGUUAGCUGCGCUAUAGAGCCCGAAGGCCCAACAGCUAGUUGACAUCGUUUGAGGGCGUGGACUACCGGGUAAUAAUCCUGUUUGCUCCCCACGCUUUCGUGCAUGAGCGUCAGUGUUAUCCCGGAGGCUGCCUUCGCCAUCGGUGUUCCUCCGCAUAUCUACGCAUUUCACUGCUACACGCGGAAUUCCACCUCCCUCUGACACACUCUAGCUCGGUGAUUAAAAAUGCAGUUCCAAAGUUAAGCUCUGGGAUUCCAUCUUUCUUUCCGAACCGCCUGCAUACGCUUUACGCCCAAUUCUGAUUAACGCUUGCACCUACGUAUUACCGCGGCUGCUGGCUGCUGGUUAUCGGUCUGCUUAUUCUGCAGGUAUAAUCGUUGCACAGGCCGUUAUCGUGCCGUUUCUUUCUGCCAAAAUUCUUUGCUUGAGGAGCCCUUCAUCGCACACGCGGGAUGGCUGGAUAAGUUUCCCCAUUAUCCAAAAUUCCACUGUACCUCGGCGAAUGCGGGCAUCUCGGUCCAGUGUGGCUGGUCGUCCUCUCAAACCAACUACGAGAUCGUCUUAACCGGUGACCGUUACCCCACAACUAGCUAAUCCGAUAUCAGCGCUCUAAUAGUGCAGAGGCUGAAGGUCCCCGCUUUCCCCCGAAGGGCAUGCGGUAUUGCUUCUGCUCGCGUAGUUAUCCCCCGCUACUAGGCACGUUCCGAUACAUUACUCACCCGUU